rnacentral:rRNA from 3 species
UCUGGUAGUUAUGGCGAGAAGGUCACACCCGUUCCCAUCCCGAACACGGUAGUUAAGCUUCUCUGCGCCAAUGGUAGUUGGGGG